rnacentral:rRNA from 1 species
GACGAACGCUGGCGGCGUGCCUAAUACAUGCAAGUCGAACGCACUCUCGUUUAGAUUGAAGGAGCUUGCUCCUGAUUGAUAAACAUUUGAGUGAGUGGCGGACGGGUGAGUAACACGUGGGUAACCUGCCCUAAAGUGGGGGAUAACAUUUGGAAACAGAUGCUAAUACCGCAUAAAACCUAACACCGCAUGGUGUAGGGUUGAAAGAUGGUUUCGGCUAUCACUUUAGGAUGGACCCGCGGUGCAUUAGUUAGUUGGUGAGGUAAAGGCUCACCAAGACCGUGAUGCAUAGCCGACCUGAGAGGGUAAUCGGCCACACUGGGACUGAGACACGGCCCAGACUCCUACGGGAGGCAGCAGUAGGGAAUCUUCCACAAUGGACGAAAGUCUGAUGGAGCAACGCCGCGUGAGUGAAGAAGGUUUCGGAUCGUAAAACUCUGUUGUUGGAGAAGAAUGUAUCUGAUAGUAACUGAUCAGGUAGUGACGGUAUCCGAACCAG